CUUUCCCCCUACUCUGGGGGUGUUAGCGGAUGUGGAAGGCCUGACUGAUCCCUAAGGCUUUCAGAAUUUAUUGCAUUAUUUCCCCAGUGAAAUGUCUACCUCUGUCACGUUCAGUAACUUCAGGUACUCCAUAUCUGUAACGGACCGUUUUGCACACAAGGGGUAAAAAACGUUUAGGCGAUCGGCCCCCUUUCCAGAGAUACAGGCACAGCUACUGCAGAACACCAAACUCCCGAACUGGAUACAAAAUAGCACUCCAACUCCCGAACUGGAACCUCCCAAGUAGCUGCUAGCAGACGAACAGGAAAAGCAGACAAUCAGCUUACACUCCUGGCAAUCAGUCUCUAACAGCAUACAGUGAAUCCCCCCAAGAACGAGACAAGGCUCUGUGUUGAGGGUCAAGCAGUGGUCUGUGGUGUUGGCACACCCAGCCUGGUUUUUAUUACAGUCUUGCAAAUACAGGACCGCCCACAGGGAGGUAUAAAAUAUCCAGUAACAUAUUAGUUACAACCCACAGAUUCCCUCCCCCUUAUCCUGAGAGGUAACCCAAUUACCUCUUCCUUUUUACCACAAUGCAUCCUGGCUUCCUCUCCUCUGCCCAGGAGAUAAUUGAGAAGUAAUUAAAUUAUCUCCCAGGACGGAGACAAGACUCCAUUAUGCACAUGGUUUGCACAAAGCAUUAAAAUACUGUACAAUACACAAAGUCCCAUUUUAUACAUAAAACACAGACAUGUCAGAGACAAGACUCCAUUAUGCACAUGGGGACACAAAACAAGCAUUACUGUUAAAAUACACCAGGUAAGACACAUGUAACAACAAGCCCAGUAUGCCUACAAAAGGACAAAUGGAUUAUACAGCCUGUGACGAAGUGUCCUUCGCCACUUGGUCCUGGAGAGGCCUUCUUGCCAGUCUCCUCCCCUGUGACUAUGACUCUUUCAUGUAUUUGGCUUUAAAGCCCCUAGUCUACCUUCAGACAGACUAUUUAUGUGGGCUGCUUUAUUUAUCCUAUGUUUUAGUCACCCUGUACCCAUUAUAGGUGCAGGGUGUGUGUAAUGUAAUUGUUUAUAG